GGUCUGAUACCUCCGUCUGGAAAUACUUGUCGACGGAAAUACUUGUCGGAGAAAUGGAUGUAUCUAGACAUAUUUUAGUUCUAAAUACAUCCAUUUUUAUCCAUUUCUCUGACAAGUAUUUUCGGACGGAGGGAGUAGUUU
rfam:Triticum aestivum genome assembly, contig: Triticum_aestivum_CS42_TGACv1_scaffold_642379_T_4BS-0.186668_2BL-0.133477